AAGGAUCAUUACCGAGUGUAGGGUUCCUAGCGAGCCCAACCUCCCACCCGUGUUUACUGUAACCUUAGUUGCUUCGGCGGGCCCGCCUUUAAGGCCGCCGGGGGGCAUCAGCCCCCGGGCCCGCGCCCGCCGGAGACACCACGAACUCUGUCUGAUCUAGUGAAGUCUGAGUUGAUUGUAUCGCAAUCAGUUAAAACUUUCAACAAUGGAUCUCUUGGUUCCGGCAUCGAUGAAGAACGCAGCGAAAUGCGAUAACUAGUGUGAAUUGCAGAAUUCCGUGAAUCAUCGAGUCUUUGAACGCACAUUGCGCCCCCUGGUAUUCCGGGGGGCAUGCCUGUCCGAGCGUCAUUGCUGCCCAUCAAGCACGGCUUGUGUGUUGGGUCGUCGUCCCCUCUUCGGGGGGGACGGGCCCCAAAGGCAGCGGCGGCACCGCGUCCGAUCCUCGAGCGUAUGGGGCUUUGUCACCCGCUCUGUAGGCCCGGCCGGCGCUUGCCGAACGCAAAACAACCAUUCUUUCCAGGUUGACCUCGGAUCAGGUAGGGAUACCCGCUGAACUUAAGCAUAUCA
rnacentral:rRNA from 1 species